UGACGUCGCUACUACCGAUUGUGGCUUAGUGAGCAUUUGGGAUUGGCAGCCAACACCGGCAACGGUAGCUGGCCGCCGAAAACUUAUGCAAACUUGGUCAUUUAGAGGAAGUAAAAGUCGUAACAAGGUUUCUGUAGGUGAACCUGCAGAAGGAUCAUUAGUGAAAGCAAGGGCCAGCCAUACGGACGGCGCUACUCGCGUACAACGUCUCUGGCGCCCAACUUUACACAAUAUCCACAAACCCGUGUGCACCGUUUGGAUGAGUAGGCCUCCUCGCGAGGCAGACUCUCCAAUCCAUUUCUACCAAACUCGUAUGGUUGUAUGAACGUGGAAAUCGUUGGACCGUAACUGGCCAACAACCAAUAAUACAACUUUCGACAACGGAUCUCUUGGUUCUCCCAUCGAUGAAGAACGCAGCGAAACGCGAUAGGUAAUGUGAAUUGCAGAAUUCCGUGAAUCAUCGAAUCUUUGAACGCACCUUGCGCUCCAUGGUAUUCCGUGGAGCAUGCCUGUUUGAGUGCCGUGAAUUCUCUCUCCCCAAGCGGUUGCGAUUGCACUGCUUUGGCGGACGAGGUUGGAUGGGUGCUUCUGCCUGUUUCGCAAGAAACAGGCUCGCCCGAAAUGCAUUAGCGCCUUUGGGACACACUCUGCAAACCGCUCUGAAAGGGAGGGCGGCAGAGGGGAUGGAGGAACUCCGCCCGUCAGCUAUACCAAACUUUGCCCCAGGCAAGCGCAUGGCAUGAUACGUCAUUUGCUAUGUGUGGGCGGCCGGUUGGAGAGGUGUCUGCUUUACCAGCCCUAUUUUAAUUCUGGUCUCAAAUCAGGUAGGAUCACCCGCUGAACUUAAGCAUAUCAAUAAGCGGAGGAAAAGAAACUAACAAGGAUUCCCCUAGUAACGGCGAGCGAAGCGGGAAGAGCUCAAAUUUGAAAGCUGGCACCUCCGGUGUCCGCGUUGUAAUCUCGAGACGUGUUUUCCGUGCGGCUCUAUGGACAAGUCCCUUGGAACAGGGCAUCGUAGAGGGUGAAAAUCCCGUACUUGCCAUGGAUGUACCGUGCUUUGCGAUACGUGCUCUAAGAGUCAAGUUGUUUGGGAUUGCAGCUCAAAAUGGGUGGUAGACUCCAUCUAAAGCUAAAUAUCGGGGAGAGACCGAUAGCGAACAAGUACCGUGAGGGAAAGAUGAAAAGCACUUUGGAAAGAGAGUUAAAAGUACGUGAAAUUGUCGAAAGGGAAGCGCUUGAAGUCAGCCAUGCCGCUCAGGACUCAGCCUGGCUUUUGCUUGGUGUAUUUCCUGGGUAGCAAGUCAGCAUUGGUUUGGAUCGUCGGAGAAGCAUAGUCGGAAUGUGGCGCCCUCGGGCGUGUUAUAGCCUUCUAUUGGAUACGACGAUCUAGACCAAGGAACGCAGCGCGCCUUAUGGCGGGUCUUCGGACACCUCGCGCUUAGGAUGCUGCUAC
rnacentral:rRNA from 1 species